rnacentral:rRNA from 1 species
GACGAACGCUGGCGGCGUGCCUAAUACAUGCAAGUAGAACGCUGAAGAGAGGAGCUUGCUCUUCUUGGAUGAGUUGCGAACGGGUGAGUAACGCGUAGGUAACCUGCCUGGUAGCGGGGGAUAACUAUUGGAAACGAUAGCUAAUACCGCAUAAAAUGGAUUAUCGCAUGAUAAUUCAUUGAAAGGUGCAAAUGCAUCACUACCAGAUGGACCUGCGUUGUAUUAGCUAGUUGGUGGGGUAACGGCUCACCAAGGCGACGAUACAUAGCCGACCUGAGAGGGUGAUCGGCCACACUGGGACUGAGACACGGCCCAGACUCCUACGGGAGGCAGCAGUAGGGAAUCUUCGGCAAUGGACGGAAGUCUGACCGAGCAACGCCGCGUGAGUGAAGAAGGUUUUCGGAUCGUAAAGCUCUGUUGUAAGAGAAGAACGAGUGUGAGAGUGGAAAGUUCACACUGNGACGG